rnacentral:rRNA from 1 species
UACGGGGGGAGCAAGCGUUGUUCGGAUUUACUGGGCGUAAAGGGCGCGUAGGCGGCCACCGCAAGUCAGUUGUGAAAUCUCUGGGCUUAACCCAGAAAGGCCAACUGAUACUGCGGGGCCAGAGUGCAGAAGGGGCAACUGGAAUUCUCGGUGUAGCGGUGAAAUUCGUAGAUAUUGGGAAGAACACCGGUGGCGAAGGCGGCGACCUGGUCCGAUACUGACGCUGAGGCGCGAAAGCGUGGGGAGCGAUCCGG